rnacentral:rRNA from 1 species
UUCGGUGGGGANUAGUGGCGAACGGGUGAGUAACACGUGGGCAAUCUGCCCUGCACUCUGGGACAAGCCCUGGAAACGGGGUCUAAUACCGGAUAACACUUCGGGCCUCAUGGUCUGUGGUUAAAAGCUCCGGCGGUGCAGGAUGAGCCCGCGGCCUAUCAGCUUGUUGGUGAGGUAAUGGCUCACCAAGGCGACGACGGGUAGCCGGCCUGAGAGGGCGACCGGCCACACUGGGACUGAGACACGGCCCAGACUCCUACGGGAGGCAGCAGUGGGGAAUAUUGCACAAUGGGCGAAAGCCUGAUGCAGCGACGCCGCGUGAGGGAUGACGGCCUUCGGGUUGUAAACCUCUUUCAGCAGGGAAGAAGCGAAAGUGACGGUACCUGCAGAAGAAGCGCCGGCUAACUACGUGCCAGCAGCCGCGGUAAUACGUAGGGCGCANGCGUUGUCCGGAAUUAUUGGGCGUAAAGAGCUCGUAGGCGGCUUGUCACGUCGGGUGUGAAAGCCCGGGGCUUAACCCCGGGUCUGCAUUCGAUACGGGCUAGCUAGAGUGUGGUAGGGGAGAUCGGAAUUCCUGGUGUAGCGGUGAAAUGCGCAGAUAUCAGGAGGAACACCGGUGGCGA